GUGGGGAAUCUUAGACAAUGGGCGCAAGCCUGAUCUAGCCAUGCCGCGUGAGCGAUGAAGGCCUUAGGGUUGUAAAGCUCUUUCAGCUGGGAAGAUAAUGACGGUACCAGCAGAAGAAGCCCCGGCUAACUCCGUGCCAGCAGCCGCGGUAAUACGGAGGGGGCUAGCGUUGUUCGGAAUUACUGGGCGUAAAGCGCACGUAGGCGGAUCAGAAAGUCAGAGGUGAAAUCCCAGGGCUCAACCUUGGAACUGCCUUUGAAGCUCCUGAUCUUGAGGUCGAGAGAGGUGAGUGGAAUUCCGAGUGUAGAGGUGAAAUUCGUAGAUAUUCGGAGGAACACCAGUGGCGAAGGCGGCUCACUGGCUCGAUACUGACGCUGAGGUGCGAAAGCGUGGGGAGCAAACAGGAUUAGAAACCCCUGUAGUCC
rnacentral:rRNA from 1 species